AGGUGUGGCUGUAUGAUCUUUGUGAAUGGCUUCUAAGGUCAGUUGCUCCUGCAUAUAUUCUCCAAAGAUCUGGAGGUAUGCUUAAAGCUCCAAGAAUUAGCCUCCCCCGCAUGGCGCCUUGCCUGAGCUAGGACAAAGUUUUGCUACGAGUCGUUUCAUGUUCAACGAUACUUCUGUGAGUGGUGAGCACUCAGCUGUAGAAAGAAUAUUUCGAUCAACAUCAGGAUUCAGGAGGAUGAAACCUGGGGAGGUAGAAACAUGUCAUUAGCAAUGUUCCCUUGAUGGCAAUUGGAGUAUCUAGUACUUCACCCUUCACCCUCAGGGAGAAACUAUUCGCAGGACCUAUCCUACCAGACCAUUGUUUAUGUGUUUAUAUCCCUUAUAUGCUAGCUGGGUGUAGUCACCUACCGGGGCUUCUUAUGGAGAAACAAUUAGAGGCUUCAUGAGUGACAAUAUAAUGUUCAAAACUUCAAAUCUUUGCAAUUAGAUGGUGGCCAUCCUUGUGUUCUUGAGAAUAGCAGGUUGUCUCGUUGUGAUUCAUUUUCAGUAAACUUGGACCUCCUUUGACUUUGAUAUCUUAUAACCAGAUUAGGAAAGCUAAAUAUUUCCUAUAUUGGGAUAACAUGAGUAGCCUCCUUGACUUUGUGAGGCUGGUUAGUUCUUGUACGCUAUAUUGCUGGGUACUUGGAAACUGGCAAGUUUUGAUCAGGAGGACAAAGUAGUCAAAACUGGCAACUGCUAUGAUCGAUACUUGGUGAAAAUUUGACGUAUUUUUUUUUUACUUUGGAGAACUGGUUCUUCACUCAUCUCUGACUUUUCUCAUUAUGUUUUAACCAGAGGUAUUGCACAAUCUAAUAUAAUGGGUUUGGAAAACCUAUAUUGACCACUUUCAUUGCUCAGUUAACUCGAUGAAAAGUUUAAGACUGUCUUCUACAAGUUUCCAUAUUGAAUAUAUUCAACUGCUUGAUAAAUUAAGACGGUUUCUGGUGAGCAUGGGACUAUAAUGUGAUUCUUGUCAGUGGCCGACCUAGAACUAAAUUCACCAGGUGUCCACUUGCCUGUCACUGUUUGUAGCUCCUUAGACAGCAGAUGCCACCCAUACUACACAUUCUCUGUUACAUUGAUAAAUAGUUUUACAGGGGUGUUCAGUCCAGUGCACCCUGGUGGCAUAACAUAGGUCCGCCCCUGAUUCUUGUGCAAGAACUUGAAAAAAUGGCAUAUCCUUUUUUGAGCUCCGAUAAGGAAACAAAAUGUCCAUGUGCAUAGUUUGGGAGGAAAUUAUUUCCUUAACUAAAGCCUAAGAUCUGCUCACUGGACUUUUAGGGUGUGGGGAAACUGCUCGCUAGACACUUCCUGUGAAAGAUGGCAAUCGCACAGGACUUCCACAGUUUGAUAUUUUAUCCCGUGCUGUACAGGAUCAUUCAUACCCGAAUGGGAACCAGAUGAGCAUCUCCUGAUUCAAGUUGAGAUAGGUGCUAUCAUUCUACGGAGGAGCUGUACCAGUACCUGCAAGAAUACCACAUGCAGCUGUGUCGGCUCUCCACAUAAACAUCAAUAUCAGCUAAUAAGGAGCACCAUGAAGAAUCCAUGCAGAUUUUCAGCUGGGAAUAUACUCAACAUGUCACAAUCUUGUUGGAAUAAAGGUACAGUCGUGCAGAUCAGAUGGGCAUCUCUUGCUAGCAGAAAGGCAGAGAAGAUCAACUUUGAAUUGCUGAAAGUUCUUGCAUGACAAUCGCAGGCGAAAAGGCAACAAGGAAUUUCCCUCCACUGCAAACUACCUACACCUGACUUCCGUGGACAAACUAUUGCCAUGCAUGCCAUUGCAAACCCUCUCUGCUGCCUAUGGUCCCUCUAGAUUGUUCGCGGUCCAGCUGUCAACAGCACUAAAGUUCAUCUAAUCCAGGUAUUUGUCAUGACGGGCUACAGUGCGGGCAUGACUGGAUACAGUGGCAGCAAUGGGCCAGGAAAAGUAAAUCGGGGUCGCGGUUGACUUGACGGCUUUCUGAUGGAUGGGUCCAGAGAGACUUGGGUUGGUGGGGAUUUUAUUCUGUUAUUAUGCACUAAUGACAAUGGCAAGUGGGCCCAGUAGUGGUGGAAUAAGACUGAUUUAAGCUAAACUGCUCCUCUUGUUUCUCAAGUGACAAUUAUUCUCUCCAAAUGUUUAUCUCCUUUCUGGCCAUGAGGUGAUCAUAACCUGUGGUACAUUGCUCUAGCAGCUUAUGCUGAAUCCUGUGGGGGUACUCUGUGCUAGAUUUUUUUUUUUUUUUUUUUUUUUUUUUUUUUUUUUGCUUUCUAGGAGCUUGCAGGUUUGACUUGUGGCAUUUGUUUACUGGUUUCUCUAACAAUCUCAAUCAAUUCAUUCUGUUUGUAGAACACAAGGCGAUACCCUUAUCAGUACACCUGAUUCAUGCAGAUGCAAGAAUUUGUUGAA